UCAUUCUAGAAGGCCACCAGAUUGGUUAGACAUGACCUUCCCCUAGUGAAGCCAUGCUGGCUGUUUGGAAUCACAAGCUCAGGUCUUCCUGCUUGCUAACUUCUGAGUUCAGUGGACUGUUUGGGAAUGCCACUGAAGAGAGUUACUGGGCCUUCUCUGGAAGAAGCCAAUUUGUAACUGCUGUUAACCAGAUGAGAGAAGAAAAGCUCUAAACCACUAGCAUCUUAACUGAAGAUGGGGGAUGUGCAUUGCAGCCAACUCACAGACAUGAAAACAAAGGAAGAUACGAGAACAAUGAAGGUCUGAUGAAGAACAGGAAAGGGUUUUCAGAUUUUAAAUAAAAGCUUGCACUUAACGUA